GGGGAAUAUUGGACAAUGGGCGCAAGCCUGAUCCAGCCAUGCCGCGUGAGUGAUGAAGGCCUUAGGGUUGUAAAGCUCUUUUACUCGGGAAGAUAGUGACGGUACCGAGGGAAUAAGCCCCGGCUAACUUCGUGCCAGCAGCCGCGGUAAUACGAAGGGGGCUAGCGUUGUUCGGAUUUACUGGGCGUAAAGCGCACGUAGGCGGAUCUUUAAGUCAGGGGUGAAAUCCCGAGGCUCAACCUCGGAACUGCCUUUGAUACUGGGGAUCUUGAGUCCGGAAGAGGUGGGUGGAACUGCGAGUGUAGAGGUGAAAUUCGUAGAUAUUCGCAAGAACACCAGUGGCGAAGGCGGCUCACUGGUCCGGAACUGACGCUGAGGUGCGAAAGCGUGGGGAGCAAA
rnacentral:rRNA from 1 species